rnacentral:lncRNA from 1 species
CUUAAUAAAUCAGUGGUUUGGAUCGUGGGGCUCCUGGUGGAAAAAAUUGUUACUUAUUUUCUGAAUCAUUAUCUUAAUCUGUGUUUUCUCCUGCAUGUGUCUAUAUUGUGGCUGUGGUAUCUGCCUCCUGUGCAACCAGAUAGUCACCAAAUGAGCCACCUCCAUGCCAGUGAAACCCUUCGCUGACCCCUCAGGCACAUUGUGUAAGACUGUAAGGGCUUGUCAUAAGGGGUGGAGCAUUGGAGGAGGUCAUAGAGAGGAUGUGACCUGGGGUUGACCCAUGAGCUGGACUCUGGCAAUCAGAGGCGCCUCACCCCUCCCCCUGUCCUUAGAAUGUCCAUUUUGUCCACCAUUCACAGCCGUUUUCAAGGAUGCAGCCUUGAGAGAGCAAAGUGUUGUGGAGACCAUCUGGAUGGAAUACGUGACUGAACCCAGUUAAGGCCUCUCUAUAAACUAAGAUGCUGCCGGGCGGGUGCGGAGGUCUUCUGGUCCUGUGGCAGCUAAGACCAAGCCUCGUCUGUUGCAACCAUGGAAAAUCAAACUCAAAAUGGCUUAUGUCAUAAAGGGAAUUUGUUGGCUGACAUAUCUGAAAAGAUCAGGAGGAGGAGAAGCUUCAGGAUGCACUGAAAAUGGCCCAUCCCCCUCUGGUGUUCUUCCCAAAUGUGGAUAAUCCCAAUCUAACCAUGAGAAGCCAUCAGACAAAUCCAAGUUAAGAGACAUUCUACAAAAACCUGGCCAGUACCAGUAUCCUUCAAGAGUGUCAAGGUCAUUAAAGACUGAAGAACAGUCACAGCCAUAUAAAACUGCUCUUUGUUAAUUGAAG